UGGCACUGGCACAUUUGAUAUAUGGUUGGAUGUAAAUUUAUAACGAGCUAGGCAAAUUAAUUUUAUCAAUUUUUAAUUCUUAAAAUAUUUUGGAGAUGACUUAUUAUAUAUAAAGUAUUAUGAUUAAUCCAUCCUACGUACGUACAACGGUGUGGAAGAGCUCUUAAUUAGUUAAACAAAUUUUAAAAUUAUAAUUCAUAAAUAAGUAUAGUCAUUUCACGUCUAUAGUCUAAAUUCUACACCAUGCAUCACCGGUGGUCCAUGACUGACUAAGUAUUUUUUAUUCAGUUAUAUAUAGUGACUGAAUUUUACAUAUUUUUAUGUCAAACUUAUGAAAUGAUUGAAUCAACUACGAUUAAACUAGUGAUUUGCUUUCAUACAUCCCAAAGUAAAGCACGUUCACUAGGAAUCUUCCACAUCUCUAGGAAAUAAUUGAGUUUGAAGUGGGUUAAUUGUUGUUUUGACCGUUAUACUGGGGUUAAAUUUUUAUUUUGAUUACUGAUUUUUUUUUGUUAUAAAAAUAUUAUCACACUCAAAAAAAUAUUACAAAUUAAACAUUAUUUAGUAAGGAUCCACUUACGACAUAUUUAAAUACACCACAUAAUAGUGGCUAAACAUUAAUAUAGUCAGUAUUUUUGUUAAAUUUUGGACGGAAUGUUAAGUAAUGAUUAGUUUAUAAUUUUUUUGAGUAUAAUAAUAUCUUUGUACUAAAAAAAAUAUUUAAUAAUCAAAAUAAAAAUUGUUCUUUGAUAUAGUAAUCAAAAUAUCAAUUAAACCGAUUGAAAGUGCAUGAAAAAAUUAAAAAAUUAUAAGGAUAUUUUCGUAUUCGGUAUUUCACUCAAAGUCGUAUAUACAUUAAAAUAGAAAAACUAAUGUCUUUAAAAUAUGUGUGGGUGGUUGUUGGCUUUGACUACUUUCCAACUUUGUCUUUUAGGUCGUGUGAAAGGGUUGAACUUCUGCCAAAUGAAUGUAUUUUCAAUCAUAAAAAGUUGUUAGUAUGUCCCAUCACAUCAUGCAACUUAAAACCAAAUAAAAAAGUUUUUGUGCAUAUAUCCUACUAAUUAAAAUGAGAGUUAUGAAAUAAUGUAAGGUUGUAAUUAAUUUCAAUAUAUAUAUUUAUGUAUAAUAAAUAAAUAGGCUUCAAAUUUACUAGUUGGAAAAAAAAUAAAAAAUUGGUCAAUUUAAUUAUUAACUUUAUAAGAGUGCAAUUAAUUUCAAUAUAUAAAUUUUGAAAUGCACUUCUAUAUACGUACGUACGCGUAUAUGCAGACGCACAGAUGAUAUUAACAAGUAUAUAUAAUUUUGUGUGGAACACAGAUAGGAUUGUAUGGGUAUCAAUUGCAAUACUGGUGGGGUUAUUCAUGUUUCAAAGAUUUGGAACCGACAAAGUUGGCUAUACCUUCGCUCCCAUCAUUUGUGUUUGUUUCGUGUUCGGGAGCGUUUUACCGACCCUCUUUUGGGUCGAAGGCUUAGUAUCAGAAGGGCUGGAGAGAUCGGGGGACCGAAGCCUAUGAAGAUAUUGAAGGUGCUUGGGUCGGCAUCUGAGCCCUCCUGGACCGGAGCUGAACCCGGUCUUGUGAUGUUUGGGGUCGGGUCUUCGAGUUCUUUGGGCCGAAGCCUAGACUAGAUUAUAGGACCGUUUGGGCCUGCAUAGUGGGCUCUCCCGCGUGCAGAGUCCGGGUACCUAUUCAUAUGCAUAUAAGGUAACUCCAAAGGUGGUGAUGAGAUUGGACUCUACUUGCACCUUUUAAGGAGAUUGUGUUAGACCCAAGUUAUGGUAACUACCAUACACUAGGAGUCCUAAUCCGACUGGGAGAAGGAUUCUAAGGUGGUGAGUACUAUAAAUAUAAGGCCUAGGUUAUCAUUAUGAGGUAAUACCUACUUUUGAGCACUAAAUACUAAUCCUCCAUUGUUAAACCUUGUAACGACCUGUACUCAUUCUCACACCGGAGCUAUCCCCUGGCGGCACAAGCCGUCAAGCUUCUGUGUGAUCUGUUACUGUGCAGGUUCUAGCGCGUGGAUUCUGUGAUUGGACGCGCCGGCAAAACGUGGCGUUAACAUUGGCGCUAGAAGGAGGGCAGUGCUUAAAUAACAAUCACAAUCGAAUUCUUUUCCGGCAAGAAACUAUGGCGAGUGUGGAGUAUGCAGUUUUCGACCGUGAAAAGGCCAAAACACACCAGACCACUCAGGUGAGAGGGUCGGUGAAAGACAGACUGGGAUCCAGAAUCCAGGACGAUCAGAUGGAGCCGGCUGGCUCCCCCCGACGAAGGCUCUUCCAUGAAAGCCAGUGUACCCGCAACCAGGCCAGUCGGAUGGACGAAGCCAAUUCACGAGCGCUGGAGGCGCGUGAAAAGAGUCGUAGCCAGGGUAGUCGAGAUCAGAGAGAAUUCAUCCUGCAGAAAAAGAUGCAGCAAAACAAAGAUGCCAUGAUGACCCUACGUCUUCAGCAGGAGGAGCUCGAACUGCAGAUGGCCAACGUGCUCGGAGAGCAAGAGGCAUCCUCUAAGAGGCGUAGGCACCAUAGCCGAUCUCGGUCACCACGAAGGGAAGGGGCUGAUAGGGAGAAAAGUAAAUACCGAAGUCGUUCGAGGGAUGGCCGAAGCCGGAGGAGGAGUCGAUCAGCAGGACGACGUUCUGAGCACCCGGGUCGGUCUGGGCAGAGGAGGGGAGACAAGAUUCCCGAAUGUGAGAGGGACAGACCACAAUCGUCCCCUCAUGCAGGAGAGUCUGACCCCCUCGCUCGAAGGGUAGCUGAAUUGGAGAAGCUGCUGUUGGUCAAGAGCCCGAUCGGAACGCCCUCGACCUAUAUAGGGUCGCCCUUCUCGCCGGAAAUUAAUCAGGAGAUAGCGGACCCCAAAAGGAAGAUGCCCCCGAUGGAGACUUAUGACGGGCUGGGGGAUCCUUACGAUCAUUCUGAUGGGUAUGACAGGUUGAUGACGUAUUAUGGCCACUCUGAUGCAGCCAAGUGCCACAUGUUCGCUACUACCUUGAAGAAGAGCGCCCGGGAAUGGAUGGGAACCUUGGCGUCGGGAUCGAUAUCUUCAUGGAAUGACCUUCGGGAAAAGUUUCAUGCACGGUUCGGGAGUAAUAAGUGACGGGGGAAGAUCACAACAUCCCUCAUGCAGGUCAGACAGAGAUCAGAUGAGAGCCUGGGGCAGUAUGUUAACAGAUUUCGGGAGGCUGUGGGGUCGGUGACGGAGCUAAAUUCCCCACAAGCCUUGGGAUUCUUCACAACGGGGCUAGACAUCGAAAAAUCAAAGAAGCUGAUGAAGGACCUGGUAAUCAACCCCCCGGCCGACCUGACAGAAGCCUUCCACAGGGCCGAGGGUCACAUAGCGAUCGAGGAAGCGAUGGGGAAUUUCAAACCACAAUCCCAAUCCUAUGAGAAGUCUAGAGAUCGGGACAAAUAGAGCUAUCAGAAGUCUGACAAUCAGGGGAGGUCGGAUAGCUACAAGAAGAACUACAACGGGGGGGGGGGGGUGGAAGGCCACCCUUCCCAAACAAAAGUGUCAACAAGGUGUACACCGCACUCAAUACAGAUCGGGCCAAGAUACUGGAGGAGAUGCGAAGCAAGCCCUUUUUCGAACCAUAUCAAACGAUCCCGAAGCCAGGGAAGAGGGGUCGGAACAAGUAUUGUGCGUAUCACCAGAGUCGGGGUUACACGACAGAAGAUUGCACUAACUUGAAAGAUUUAAUAGAAAAGAAUGUUCAGAACGGGCAGUUAGUACAGUACGUAGUUGGUAGAGAAGGGUCGGAAGCCCCAAGAGAGGAGAACAGGGAACUCCCCCGAGAAGCACAGCCGCAACCAAACCCACAAGCCCGAGGAGUUAUUGAUGUGAUAUCGGGCGGGUCGGUAGGGCGUGUAACUGGCAAGAAGAGGAGUGGACAUCUCGAAGCCGUACUGUCACUAGCUGGCUCCUCGCCCAGAAAGGACAGGCCAUAUUCAGGCACGACCAUCUCCUUCUCAGACGAUGACUACCCUACAGAAUAGAUCGAACCGCAUGACGGGGCACUGGUGAUAACGGCUCAGGUCGGGCCAGUGGACAUGAAGAGAAUGAUGAUCGACAACGGGUCUUCGGUCGACAUACUCUACACACAUGCAUACCAACGGAUGGAUUUGGGAGGAAAGAAGAUGGAAUUGGGAGGCGAGGGCCCGCUGUACGGCUUCAGCGGCGAUCCGGUUCAUGUGUCGGGCACGGUAGAACUGCCAGUCAGAUUUGGGACGCCUCCUCAGCAGACGAAAAUCAUGGUAAAAUUUUUUGUCGUGCAAGUGGAUUUGGCCUACAACGCCAUCUUGGGAAGGCCCACAUUAGCAGCGCUGCAUGCAGUAAUAUAUAUACCCCACUUCAAAGUCAAGUUUCCGACACCAAACGGGAUAGGGGAGGUAAAAGGGGAUCUGGAUAUCGCCCGAAGGUGUUAUCGAAAUACCUUAAUUUCCUCAAGGGUUGGGGUUAGUAAGCAGAAACAGACGUUGUCCAUCGAGAUAGAGCCGUUCACUGAGGGAAGUACGGAACCCAUGGCUCUACCAGCAGAAGAAACAGAAGAUGUUGAGCUGGUACCGGUGAACCCAGACAAACUGGUCAAAAUCGGGGCGGGAUUAUCCGAACAGCUGCGAACGGGUUUGGUGGAGUUACUUCGGGUGUAUGCCGACAUCUUCGCUUGGGAACCUAGCGACAUGCCCGGAGUAAGCGAAUCAAUAGCAUUACAUAGGCUUCAUACCGACCUAAAGAGGAAGCCAGUGAUACAGAAAAGAAGGAUCUUUGCCCCGAAAAGACAGAAGAUUAUUGACGACGAGGUUACUAAAUUGUUAGAGGCAGGGUUCAUCUUCGAAAUCGACUAUCCCGAAUGGCUGGCGAAUGUAGUAUUGGUUCAGAGAAAAAUGGGAAGUGGAGGAUGUGCAUUGACUACACGGACCUGAAUAAGACAUGCCCCAAAAACUUCUACCCCUUGCCCAACAUAGACCAGCUGAUUGAUGCCACUUCGGGGUAUGGGAUGCUAAGUUUCAUGGACGCUUUCUCGGGAUAUCACCAAAUCUCGAUGCACAAGGAAGAUAUCCCGAAGACUAGCUUCAUCACUCAUCGGGCUAUAUACGCGUAUCGGAAGAUGACCUUCGGACUGCUAAACGCAGGAGCAACCUACGUUUGAAGACUAGCUUCAUCACUCAUCGGUCUAAGUUUGAAGGUUUUUUGAAAGAGUUAAGGAUCCAGCAUCGUAAGACUUCGGUUGCCCAUCCUCAGUCAAACGGCCAAGUGGAAGUGACCAAUCGAACCCUACUCAAUGAGAUUAAACGCAGAUUAGAUGAAUUAAAGGGUCGGUGGCCCGAAGAACUGCUAUCUGUUUUGUGGGCGUAUCGAACUACCCCAAGGACUACAACUGGAGACUCCCCAUUCAGGUUGGCAUACGGGACCGAUGCACUCAUUCCUGUUGAGAUCGGAUCUCCAACUCUUCGAGUCAGCCAAUACAAAGAGCUAUAUAAUGAUGAGGGUUUGAGAACGAAUUUAGAUUUGUUGGAUGAAGUUCGGGAUUCAACAAUGAUGAGAUUGGCCAUCUAUCAGCAGCGAACAACCCGACACUAUAAUCAGAAGGUGAAGACAAGGAGGUUUGCAAUAGGAGGAUACGGUCCCAUAGGAGAUUUGGUCAUCCGGGAGUCGGAAGCAUCAACCCCCCAGAACACUGGCAAGCUAAUGCCCAACUGGGAGGGGCCUUAUGAGUUGGUAGGAGUGCCGAAGCCAGGAACCUACCGGCUUCAAGCAAUGGACGGUUCGGAGGUAAAGAAUACAUGGCAUGCUGGAAGACUUAGAAAAUUUUACCAGUAAUAGUUAUGUCGUUCUUGUUUUUAUCCAUGUAAUCGUUUCAACUCAAAUGAUAUAAAUGAAAGACCCUAUUUCUGUCAGUGUUUAACUUCAUCUAUAUUCAUAUAUUUCGUUACUACUUGAACAGACACGCUUCGGGCACUAUCCGAUCAAGAGGUUCGGAAAAACACCACUGAUCGAGAUAAGUCCCGAGCAUAACUGACCGAGAGUUCAAUAAAUUCUUAAAAUACAGAUCUCGGGCACUAUCCGAUCAAAAGGUUCGGAAAGACACCACUGAUCGAGAUAAGUCUCGGGUAUAACUGUUGACCCUUCAAAAUCAGAUAAACUCUAAGGACGAUCCAAUCAGAAGGUUCGGGUGGACAUAACUGAUCAAGAUUAGUCAUAAGUAAAACUGAAAAUAAACAUUCAUGGGCAAAAAAUAUAUAUCUCAUUCAUACUUAGAAAAUUUUUACUUUACAAACCCGGUCGCUUACGAUUCGGGCCAAGUACAAAAAGGGAAAUUUUCUUUAUUAUAAAUCUUACAUAUCUACUCGGCAGGGGGGUCAUCUUCAGCGUCAGACUCGUCAUCCGAAGAGUCAAGGAUGGAGACAUCGAGCCCAACAGCCAUCAGCUUUGCUUUAGCCUUUUCCCGAUGAGUCUCAUACCCCUCACCAAAUUGGGCUAUGACCUUAUCGUUCAAGGCUUCGGAUUCUUCGUAUUCGGCGAUGGCUUGCUGUCUGGCUUCGAUUAUCUUCUCGGGAAAUGCAUUGACGGUAGCAGUCAAAGUGUUGUUCUCCUUGAUCAAGAAAAUCAUCUUAUCAUGCAUCUCGGAGAACUUGAGCGUAAUACUGUCAACAGCAUCUUCCCGAUCCUUGACCUCUUGGAGCAGAUGAUCCCUCUCUACCAGAAGAGUGUUAUGCUUAUGCUCCGACUCUUCGAUCCGAUCCUCCGCUCGGGGCGCCCUGCGUCGGGUCUCAGCAUGAGAAUCCCUUUCCUUCUUCAGGUCGGACUGCAGACCCCGAGCCUCAGCCUCAAGCAGCUCAACAUCCGUCCCCAGCUGAAUUUCUUUCUUUGUGGAUCGGGCGAGGGGAGGGAUGGCUCGGGCGAGUAUAGCGUUGGCCUGCAGUAAACAUAUACAUCAGUACAAGAAGUAAAAGUCAAAGUUAAUAGCAGCAAUCAGAUUNNNNNNNNNNNNNNNNNNNNNNNNNNNNNNNNNNNNNNNNNNNNNNNNNNNNNNNNNNNNNNNNNNNNNNNNNNNNNNNNNNNNNNNNNNNNNNNNNNNNNNNNNNNNNNNNNNNNNNNNNNNNNNNNNNNNNNNNNNNNNNNNNNNNNNNNNNNNNNNNNNNNNNNNNNNNNNNNNNNNNNNNNNNNNNNNNNNNNNNNNNNNNNNNNNNNNNNNNNNNNNNNNNNNNNNNNNNNNNNNNNNNNNNNNNNNNNNNNNNNNNNNNNNNNNNNNNNNNNNNNNNNNNNNNNNNNNNNNNNNNNNNNNNNNNNNNNNNNNNNNNNNNNNNNNNNNNNNNNNNNNNNNNNNNNNNNNNNNNNNNNNNNNNNNNNNNNNNNNNNNNNNNAAGAAAUGAAAUCGUGAAGUGGGAACCGAACCCCGUACUUUAGAACGUACAGGGGGACGGCCACCCACUCGCCCUCGGGACGCCAAAACAUCUUCUCAUCGGGCAUAGGUACUCGAAGCUGGUAUUCUUCAGGGAUCUUAAAAAGGGACCGGAUGUCAGAAAUCUGUGAGGGGGUGAUGGUGGAAGGAGUAUGAAGGUGAGAAAACUCCUUUGAGGAAUAGUAUGCAUUUCGAAUCCUAGCAUCGGCGUCUACCGGACUAGGCAGGGUCAAAGGAGUGGUGUCGGCAGGGGCAUCCGGCAGUACGACCUGUAGAAGGUCGCCGGUGGUGACGGUGGAGGUAGCGGUGAUAGGCUCAGUGGCCGGAAUAGUGCUGAAAUUGGCCAUUUAAAAAGGAUGUGAUGCAAAUAAGAAGUUUCGAAGAACAGAUGAUCAAGUAGAACUCAAAUAUCUGCAAAGUAGUGGGAGUUCGUGGAGUUUGGGGAAGAAAUGAGCUCGCCGAAAAUCGCCUUGCCGGAAAAAAUGAAAACAGAGAGUUUGGGAGUGAGAGUCAGUAAAGGUGAUAAUGAGGGGGGAAGAGGGGUUUUUAUAAGGGGUACGGCACGGAACCCAAGGCGGCUAUUAAAUACUUGAGGUGGGUCCAGGCGUGAAAAUGCGUGCAACGUUUCAAAUAUCAAGAACUGACUGUAUGGCUUCCACAAGCAGCUCAUCAUUAGCUGUCGUGACCUUUCAUAUACCUGACCGUUCAAACCCUAACCUUUCAAGUCUCCAAUCAUAAAUAUGUUAUAAUUAGAGACUGGGGGGCAAUGUUCGGGAGCGUUUUACCGACCCUCUUUUGGGUCGAAGGCUUAGUAUCAGAAGGGCUGGAGAGAUCGGGGGGCGGCCUAUGAAGAUAUUGAAGGUGCUUGGGUCGGCAUCUGAGCCCUCCUGGGCCGGAGCUGAACCCGGUCUUGUGAUGUUUAGGGUCGGGUCUUCGAGUUCUUUGGGCAGAAACCCAGACUAGAUUAUAGGACCGUUUGGGCCUGCAUAGUGGGCUCUUCCGCGUGCAGAGUCCGGGUACCUAUUCAUAUACAUAUAAGGUAACUCCAAAGGUGGUGAUGAGAUUGGACUCUAUUUGCACCUUUUAAGGAGAUUGUGUUAGACCCAAGUUAUGGUAACUACCAUACACUAGGAGUCCUAAUCCGACUGGGAGAAGGAUUCUAAGGUGGUGAGUACUAUAAAUAUAAGGCCUAGGUUAUUAUUAUGAGGUAAUACCUACUUUUGAGCACUAAAUACUUAUCCUCCAUUGUUAAACCUUGUAACGGCCUGUAUUCAUUCUCACACCGGAGCUAUCCCCCGGCGGCACAAGCCGUCAAGCUUCUGUGUGAUCUGUUACUGUGCAGGUUCUAGCGCGUGGAUUCUGUGAUUGGACGCGCUGGCGAAACUUGGCGUUAACAGUUCGCAUUCAUCGCAGCCAUUGGCGUCUACAAUUUCAUCAAAUAUGAUCCAUCCGUAGUUAAAGCUAUAAAUCCCAAAUAUAUCAUACACUAUUUCAGCAGGAACAAAAAACAAGCAUGGAUUUCCCUAGGUGGCAUUGUCCUAGCCAUAACAGGUGCUGCUGCUGUUUACACUAACUAUUUUUUUUUACAU
rnacentral:lncRNA from 1 species